rnacentral:rRNA from 1 species
AGAGUUUGAUCAUGGCUCAGAACGAACNCUGGCGGCAGGCUUAACACAUGCAAGUCGAGCGAGGUUUUCGGACCUAGCGGCGGACGGGUGAGUAACGCGUGGGAACGUACCCUUUGGUUCGGAAUAGCCCCUGGAAACGGGAGUAAUACCGGAUGAGCUCUUCGGAGGAAAGAUUUAUCGCCAAAGGAUCGGCCCGCGUUGGAUUAGGUAGUUGGUGGGGUAAUGGCCUACCAAGCCGACGAUCCAUAGCUGGUUUGAGAGGAUGACCAGCCACACUGGGACUGAGACACGGCCCAGACUCCUACGGGACGCAGCAG